UUGGUACUGAAAUUCUAAGAUAAUAAGUUUAAGUCAUUAUGCAUCAAUAGUUGUUGUUGAAGUAGUUGUGUUUAUUGUUUAGUGUUUUAUGCUAUCUCCACCACAGUCUCAUUCAGAAAAUAUUAAUAAUAAGUCUCCGUCCAAACGUACACCAGUGAAAUCACUUGUUCUACGAAAACUCCAGUAAAGAAUAUUCGAGAAAGCUGCCAACAGUGAAAAUAUGUACCAUCAAACCGUCCAACAAACCAACAGCAGUUUCAAUGAGUAAUUUUGUCGAUCACUUUUAUGCUACAGUAAAACGGUUAGAAUCUCCCGUAACUCCACCUAAGAGCAGAAAAGUGCUUUAUGAAUCAAGUUAUUAUGCACAACUUGCUCAAUGUGUUGAAUCUUUAAAGCAAAAAUUAAGAACAAGCCAGCAAUGUUUUAAUAAAAAAUCAAAUGAGUUGAAAUCAAAUUUUUUGGUUAGUUAAUAACCACUUACCAAUUAUGAUCUUUGGAACAUAAAAAAUACAGAAGGUUUUUCGAUAGUUUGAUGACAGUAUAAAACGUACUUUGAAAAUAAUAACUUUUUGUGGAACUUUAAACGUGGAUAUUAACUUCUAAGACUAAAUUUCCCUCUGCCGUCUCUUCGAGUAUUACGUAGAAAACAUGAAAUAUUAGAAAUCAAAUAAGAUAACACAUAAGAACUGUUAUCAGCAUGUACUACCUCAUUCAAAUUCAGCAAAAUAUUGUAGCAGACGAGCAUUGCUGGACGUUAUUUAAUUCUACGACUUCAAGAUGACCUUUCUAACACCAAGGGAUUAAGAUACAACAACAAUAAGCUUACUACUAAACAUUAUUAAAUUCAUUUUCGUGAAUUUAAUCAAGUUUUAGACUAGCAAUAUGUCAUAAUUCAUAGAAAAUGAUGCAAGUAUGAAUCUUCAAUCGUCCUACACUUGAUAACAUGACGUAUCAAUGUAUAUUUAACAAAAGCCAAGUUGUGCUCAGAAUGCUAACAACUUCUUGAUACAAUCGUAGGACAUGUGUACAAACCUGACCAAAAUGUUGGUGAAUUUUUAUUUUGUUAAGGAGUAUCUCCGUUUGGAACUGAACCUACUUAUAGGUCUUUUCAAUUCACUGAUUCCGACUACAAUACCAAAGUGGCAAAAUAUUUAGGAGAACAUCGAAAGUUGAAGAAUAAAUAGGUUUAAUUGAUUGUUUUGAACUAUGUUGUAAUUU